UACAGAGGGUGCGAGCGUUAAUCGGAAUUACUGGGCGUAAAGCGCACGUAGGUGGCGACGUAAGUCGGGUGUGAAAGCCCCGGGCUCAACCUGGGAAUUGCAUUCGAGACUGCAUUGCUGGAGUACGGAAGAGGAAGGCGGAAUUCCCGGUGUAGCGGUGAAAUGCGUAGAUAUCGGGAAGAACACCCGUGGCGAAGGCGGCCCCCUGGACCGGUACUGACGCUGAGGCGCGAAAGCGUGGGUAGCAAACGGG
rnacentral:rRNA from 1 species